GUGCUUGCUUUGGCAGUACAUAUACUAAAAUUGGAACGAUAUAGAGAAGAUUUGCAUGACUCCUAAAAAAAUAUAUAUAUAUAUAUAUAUAAUACAUAAAUCAUUU